rnacentral:tRNA from 1 species
GCCUGGCUGGCUCAGUCAGUAGAGCAUGUGACUCUCGAUCUCAGCGUUGUGUGUUCGAGCCCCAUGUCAGGUG